UACGUAGGGUGCGAGCGUUGUCCGGAAUUACUGGGCGUAAAGAGCUCGUAGGUGGUUUGUCGCGUUGUUCGUGAAAACUCACAGCUUAACUGUGGGCGUGCGGGCGAUACGGGCAGACUGGAGUACUGCAGGGGAGACUGGAAUUCCUGGUGUAGCGGUGGAAUGCGCAGAUAUCAGGAGGAACACCGAUGGCGAAGGCAGGUCUCUGGGCCACUACUGACGCUGAGAAGCGAAAGCGUGGGGAGCGAACAGG
rnacentral:rRNA from 1 species